rnacentral:ncRNA from 2 species
UAAAUUAACGGCGAUGAUGUCCGCCUCCCUGGCCUCACCGGGGAAACCGCUCACAAUGGGCUGAUGACCUCUAUCUAAAA